AGGACCAUGGGAAAAAAAAUCACUUUUCAACCAUGUGUAGGUGAAAUCCAUAUAUAUGGGGUUUCGUUUUUGUUUCAUGUUUUGUUUUGUUUCACUUUUUGCUAUCAGUACACAACCACUUUGAAUAUAGCCUUGCACAAAGAGUAGGGCAUCCAUUCAACUGUUUCUUAAAUGUGUACAGAGGCUCACUCUUAGUUCUUAUGAUUUCUACUUUUUAUAUAAUUUCAUGUAAUUUCUGCACUCUACUACUUGCUACUCAUUCAUAGACUGGUACUAUCCAGGGUCAUAAUUUAAAAUAGAACUGAGUUAGAUAUUAUGAAUUCAGAUUUGCAGUUCAGCCAUUAGAAGAAAAUUAACCCUAAUAUACAUGUUGUUUAAGAGCUUGAACUUCAUCAGUGAGACUGAGUGAAGCAUUGUGAGAAUUUUUAAAGUUCUAAAUUUCAGAUAAAUCAGUCAUUUGUAUUUCAUUUGUUGGAGUUAUAGACACACACCAUAUAGAGAUCACUUUUGCUUCUCUUGAGUUCAGUAGGUUCAUGACUAUUGAAAAGCAAUCCACAUGGUAAAGAAAGAGGUGGUGAAGAGUGGAGAUCAAAACAUGAUCAAGCCAUGGAAAACACAGCUUCACUCAAAGUGUUGUGACCUCAAAUAAGAGGCACAGGUGCCUCCUUGGGCAGCUUGGGGCAAGUGAUCUACUUUCACUUUCCAGUGAAACAUCUCAAAUCACUGCUGCCCUGCAUUCCACUUGCGUAAUAUCAGAGAAGCCUUUCCUGCGUCUGAUCUUGAAAGCAUUCUAGCUGUCGCCUUGGGCAGAUCAAAAAUUUGUGCAAGCAUACAACAAAUGCUUGUUGACCACUGAUGCUGUCACCAUUUGUAGAAAAUAACCUGAAGCACGUGAAAAGAAUCAUCCAAUAAUUGACAAUUGGAUAGCUGAAUUUGGCUCACUAGUCAGGAAAGCAUACCAUGGUUAUCAUAUCAGAUCCAAAGCAGCUGAUCCGCAAUGGAGACAAAACUUUUAUGCAGGAACACUUGACGUUCCAGUCCAGAUGAAAAUAGGAAGUCAAUCAAAGCAGCAGAGUCCAGAGAGGACACCAAGCCAAACUGACCCUUUUCUAAGGACCUUUUCCCAUCCUUUCCACCUCCUCCAAUGUGAAGCCCAGUAAAGGGACCAGCCGGGGGAGCCUUGAAGAGGGCUGCAAAUCCAGCUGCUUCUGUCUCAAAUAGUUGUUUUUUAGGGGAUGGGUUUUAAUUGAUAGGUUUAAAAAAAUAAAGGAUUGUUAACAAACUGUACAAUCAAUAAACUUCAUUGUAAAACAUG